AGAAUUGAGCUGACAAAAGGGAAG
rnacentral:sRNA from 1 species